AACGCACAUUGCGCCCUUUGGCAUUCCGAAGGGCAUGCCUGUUCGAGCGUCAUUAUCAACCCCUCAAGCCCCGUGCUUGACGUUGGACGGCUUGGUCGAGCGCCCCGCCUCGACCCCUCCGAAAGACAAUGACGGCGGCCCGUGGAACCCCCGGUACACUGAGCUUCUUCACCGAGCACGUACCGGACGAGGGUGCCCGGGACCCGGUCCUCUUCCCGUGGAAAUGGGAACACUUUCUCCAGGUUGACCUCGGAUCAGGUAGGAAUACGCGCUGAACUUAA
rnacentral:misc_RNA from 1 species